rnacentral:misc_RNA from 1 species
GUAUUUUGAAUUAAGUAUUCAAGAUAUGUUCAGACAAUGAUUAUUUUGAAGGUUACUUUCAAAACCAACAUCCUUUAACAGAUGCCGAUUUCAAUGCACAAAGAUUGGAGUAAAUCCAUUACUGGAUACCAUUUUGAAUGAUCCUUCCGCAGGUUCACCUACGGAAA